CCUACGGGAGGCUGCAGUGGGGAAUAUUGCGCAAUGGGGGCAACCCUGACGCAGCAACGCCGCGUGAUUGAAGAAGGCCUUCGGGUUGUAAAGCUCUGUCAGCAGGGAAGAAAGCAAUGACGGUACCUGACCAAGAAGCCCCGGCUAACUACGUGCCAGCAGCCGCGGUAAUACGUAGGGGGCAAGCGUUAUCCGGAAUUACUGGGUGUAAAGGGAGCGUAGACGGCUGCGCAAGUCUGGAGUGAAAGGCGGGGGCCCAACCCCCGGACUGCUCUGGAAACUGUAUGGCUGGAGUGCAGGAGAGGUAAGCGGAAUUCCUAGUGUAGCGGUGAAAUGCGUAGAUAUUAGGAGGAACACCAGUGGCGAAGGCGGCUUACUGGACUGUAACUGACGUUGAGGCUCGAAAGCGUGGGGAGCAAACAGGAUUAGAUACCCUUGUAGUC
rnacentral:rRNA from 1 species